rnacentral:rRNA from 1 species
UGGCGGAUGGGUGAGUAACGCGUGGGUAACCUGCCUUACACAGGGGGAUAACAACCGGAAACGGUUGCUAAAACCGCAUGAAGUAUGAACAUCGCAUGAUGAUCAUAUUAAAUAUUUAUAGGUGUAAGAUGGGCCCGCGUCUGAUUAGCUAGUUGGUGGGGUAAUAGCCUACCAAGGCGAUGAUCAGUAGCCGGCUUGAGAGAGUGACCGGCCACAUUGGGACUGAGACACGGCCCAAACUCAUACGGGAGGCAGCAGUGGGGAAUCUUGCACAAUGGGCGAAAGCCUGAUGCAGCGACGCCGCGUGAGUGAAGACGUACUUCGGUAUGUAAAGCUCUAUCAGCAGGGACGAUAAUGACGGUACCUGACUAAGAAGCCCCGGCUAACUACGUGCCAGCAGCCGCGGUAAUACGUAGGGGGCAAGCGUUAUCCGGAUUUACUGGGUGUA